AUUGAACGCUGGCGGAAUGCCUUACACAUGCAAGUCGAACGGCAGCACGGGAGCAAUCCUGGUGGCGAGUGGCGAACGGGUGAGUAAUACAUCGGAACGUGCCCAAUCGUGGGGGAUAACGUAGCGAAAGCUACGCUAAUACCGCAUACGAUCUACGGAUGAAAGCAGGGGAUCGCAAGACCUUGCGCGAAUGGAGCGGCCGAUGGCAGAUUAGGAGUUGGUGAGGUAAAGGCUCACCAAGCCUUCGAUCUGUAGCUGGUCUGAGAGGACGACCAGCCACACUGGGACUGAGACACGGCCCAGACUCCUACGGGAGGCAGCAGUGGGGGAAUUUUGGACAAUGGGCGCAAGCCUGAUCCAGCCA
rnacentral:rRNA from 1 species